UACGUAGGGUGCAAGCGUUAAUCGGAAUUACUGGGCGUAAAGCGUGCGCAGGCGGUUUUGUAAGACUGUCGUGAAAUCCCCCGGGCUCAACCUGGGAAUGGCGAUGGUGACUGCAAGGCUAGAGUUUGGCAGAGGGGGGUAGAAUUCCACGUGUAGCAGUGAAAUGCGUAGAUAUGUGGAGGAACACCGAUGGCGAAGGCAGCCCCCUGGGUCAAAACUGACGCUCGAUGCACGAAAGCGUGGGGAGCAAACAGG
rnacentral:rRNA from 1 species